UGGUGUCACACAGUGUCUCAUAACAAAAUAUUUAUUUUUUUGUCCAGCCGUGCAGCAACCCUGAUUGCCUAUAUUUGCAUGAGAUUGGUUCACAAGAGGAUAGUUUUACCAAGGACGAAAUAAUAUCCGCUUACACAAGGUAUUUUUAUAUCAGUAUGCAGCCUAUUAUAUAUUUUCCUUUUUCAUUUUAUUCUUUUUAUAUCUGUGAUGAAAGUAGUAAAUGCUUCAUGUUGCCCUUUGGACUCAACCUAGUAAAUACUUAAUGUUGCGCUUUAGACUCAACCUUUAAGUCUUUUAUUCAGCAUCUGCUUGUUGCUUGACAAUCAAACAUCGUGCAGUUAUCGAUUUAGUUGAUUUAUUUAUGGAAGAUUCCGCUUCCUAUGAAGCCAAUUAUGGCGUUUUUUAGUUAAAAAGAGCUGUUCCAGUGCUUCGAGAAGUUUCUUUGUUGUCUUAAAUGGGUGACUUUUCUUGGAGCUUAUCUUCAAGUUGGAAACUUGAUUUCUCUGUGCGGAUGAAAAUUAUGGUUUUGCCUUCUCUAUUUGGAGUUUCUUAAUAUUGUUGGGGUGUGUUGUUUUGUUAAUCUAAGGUGGAUGUUUGACAAAGCUUUUAAGUGCUUAUAAACUAGAUAAACAUAAUUUUAACCACACAUUCCUUAGGAUCCACAACUUUUAUUUAGUUUUAAACCAUACGUUCUUUGGGACCACUGCUUAUAAGCACUUGAAAGCUUAGCCAAGCAAGCAUUUAAUCUGGAGUUUUUAAUUCUUUUUUUUUCUUGUAGCAGGGGGAGGGAGGGGGUGUUUAUGUUAUUUUUAUAUGAACAAGUAUAUGAAAGAGAUGCAUUCUGUCAUAUUAGUUUUGUGGUUUCUUUUUCUCCUAGUCAAUUUUUUUUUUUUGAUUGUUGAAACUUGUGAUUGCAGUGGUUUCCUCUAUAUCUACAAUUGUAGAAUAAUUAUCAUGUUCAGCUUUUUGUUGGUUAUUGUGACAAUUCGGGAAGUAGAUUAACUUAGCUAACGAUUUUAAAGUAGAGUACAACAAAUUACUGGUGCUACAAAUAGUGUGCAACGGCAUUCAGGAAAUGUGUUACCAGCACCAGCAGAUGAUUACUGCAUUAGUAGCCAUUUUUCUUCCGGGAAGCCUUCAAGUAAAACUGCUACACAGACAAAUGUAAGUUUUUCUUUACCCCUAACCACAUUUUUUUUUUCACAAACUUUCACUAUGUGAAGAGUCUUUAAAAUACUGUGGAAAUAUAAUAGUAGUUGUUUGUCAGACAAACAUCUGUCACAAAACUAUUAUACGGUACUGCGCUGUGGAAUUUUAGCUUGUAUUACAUGUGGCAAUUGUGAUCUUGGCAGUGAUUACUGCUGAAAUAUCUGGAUUGCUUUUUUCUUGCUAACAAAAAUUUUCUCGCCGUGCAGAAUUCGGUGAACAGCAUUAGAGUUUCUCCACCAAAUAGCAGCUCUGGUAGAUCUGCUGCUCUACCUGCUGGAGCCUCAUGGUAUGUCAAUUACUGAUCUGUUGUCUCUUUCAAUUUGUAUGUCACUAUUUCUCAGCAUUCAAUUUGCCUUCACUAGGGGGAUUCGUUCUUCCAAUAAUCAACCCUUGUCCACAAGUAUACCAUGUUCCAAUGGACUACAUAAGCAUAAACCUAAUGCCUGUAAUGGACCGGUGACGUUUUCUACUGCAGUUGCUAGCUCUAGUCAGGUUUCUUCGUUGCAUAGUGACUCUGGAAAGAAGCUGGUUCCUAGUGAAGAAAGCAACACAAGUCUAGACAAAAGCAAACUGGAAGCCAUAGAACAUGUGAAAAAGGAUUCUAGCACAGAUAGCAGAACUAUUUUGAGUAGUUCCUCCUCGUCUGUACUUUCUGUUACUUCAACAAUAAACAGGCAACACGGUCAACCUACAUCCAAGGACAAAGAUGGAGAUGCCAGCAUGCUACCCUGUACCAACAACUCAGUUAAUCAAUACCUAAAGUCUUGUGGUCCUGAUUCAGACACAGAUUCCAAUGAUUCUGCAGAUGGAAAAAUUGAAAAUUUAUGCUCUGAAAUUUUUUCUAUGAGCAUUGAUAGACAUCAACAGUUGCAGAAUGGCUAUGCUGAGCACAUUGGAGAACCAUUGAUAUCGCAGACCUCUGGAAUAUCUGCAUUACCAGUUGAUGAGGAUUAUGCCUCAAAUCGUCUCUCUCCGUUGAAAUUGGAAACACACAUGCAAGUCUCGCAAGUUGACUCGCUUCAGAUGGAAGAUAAUCUAUUAUCUUUUGAUAAACAAAGACUCAAGGAUCCAGAGUUUGCUUCUAGCAGAAACAGUAUACCAGAUUCUUCUCACUCUACUCAUCUUUCAAGACAUUCUAAUAUUCAUUCUCCAACACAAAAUAAUUCUGACGCUUCAGUCAGGGUCAAUGUUGAUAGGCAAAUUGUACAUACAAAAGACAAUUUGAUAGUAUCAGCUUCUAGUAAUUCUGUUAUGUCAAAUAAACAUCCUGACAAUGAAUUCAGUAGUUCUUCUGAUCCAGUGAAUGAUGUUGAACAUAUUUAUUUGUUUCCAAUUAAUAAGGAUAAAAAUUCAGUUCUGGGAAGAUUCAAAGGUGAAGCAGCCUGUCACAGUCAUCCUGCUGCUGUUGAUACGGGGGAAAGCAGCAUAAUAUCAGAUAUUUUGUCGAUGGACUCUUAUUCAUGGGAUGACUCGAUACGUUCACCUCAGAACCUGGCAAAAUUGUUUGGUGAAACUGAUGAACGACAAGGGCCUUUCGGAGUACCUAGUUCGCGGAAAAUCCAGAAUAGCAAUCAAUCGAGGUUUUCUUUUGCUAGAGAGGAGGAACGUAUGAACCGAGCAUCUGACUUUGGACUAGCUAUCAAUUAUGUUGAACAAUCUCUUAAGGACCGCCCAUUUGGCAAUGAUUUCACAAACAGCAACAGCUUUCAUCUUGAAAAGUUUGGUUCUCACAAUAGGCUAUCUUUAUUUAAUGGUGUGGAGUCAGAUAAUUUUGCCAGCAGUCAUUCUUACAUCUCUUCUAACAAGGUUCCUGGUGAGUUGCGAUUUAUACGAAUUUCAAUGAAGUUUAUUCAUAGUUUGUUGUUGACUUGGCGGGGUUGUAAGUUUCUUUUUAUUUCUCGGAUAUAUUAGUAACCUUGUCAUGGAAAUUGACACUUGCGAAGUAUACAUGUUCAAUUUAGUUCUUUCUUGAUCAAAAUAUUCUUGUGCCUCAUGAGAAACCUAGGGAUAUUUUCAAUUUGUGUUUUCCAUCUGAUGGAAUUUAUUCUUAUGUAGCUUUCUAUUUUUCUCUCUCAAAACAUUUUUUCUGGGUGCCUUUGAACAGUUUCAAGAUCUCAAGUUUCUGCCCCCCCGGGUUUCUCAGUGCCUAGUAGGGUACCACCUCCCGGUUUUAUUUCUCACGAGAAGACAGGGCGGAUAUUCGACCCACACUCUGGUCCGUUAAUUUAUGCUAGGCACUUAAUAUUUUCGGACUUUUACUUCAUGUUAAAAAUCUUGUGUUUGGUUUUGAAUUAUCAUUUUAUUCUGUCUUGUGCAGGAAAUUAUAUGCCCGAUGCUUCGCUUUUGCCAAGAAAUCAGUAUCAGGCAUCCCCAAGUGGUGAUUCUAUUAGUAAUGCCGAAAUUGAGUUUAUGGAUCCUGCAAUUUUGGCAGUUGGCAAAGGGAUACUUCCUGGUAGCCUAAACAGCUCAGGCUUGGGUGCAAGAUUAAGUUAUUCUCCGCAGUAUAGUACGCUUGAAGAAUUAAGAUUCCAGUCCUUGUUACAAAGAUCAGUUCCUACUCAUCAAAACCAGAGAUUUACAGACCCGGGUGACAGUUAUUCUCCCCUUGGCGAUGCUUAUGGAGUUCCUUCUAGGGUGCUAGAGCAAACCCUAACCAACAACCUGUCCCCAUUUUCCCAGUUCACUCUUCCUCAGCCUAGAAAUGCUGUAACAUCCAAUGGCCAAUGGGAUGGGUGGAAUACGGUGCAGGGUGAGAAUGCUUUAGGUAUGGCAGAACUACUCAGAAAUGAGAGAUUGGGACUUCCUAAGUACUACAAUGGUUAUGAAGAUUCAAAUACCCGCUUGCCAAAUUCUGGAAACCUAUAUAAUCGGGCUAAUGGGAUUUAAAUUUGGUUGGAGACUUAUAUGGCACUGUUGGUACUGAUAGUGUCAAUGGUAAAAUAGGAAAAAUCUUGUGCGAAUUAGAGAAUGCCUGCUUUAAGGACUUCAAUGUUUGGCAAUCGGAUGACCUGAUCACUUGCAUUGACUAAACGGACCUAGGCAUGGAAUGCCCGAAAUAUUUGUGUUCGAGGACAUUAGAGUGAUUCACGAGUAGUCUGAUGGCACUGCUUUUAAGUUGGUGGAGGAUCAAGCCCUUUCAACAGGGAGUCCCAAACCAACAGGUAAAAUAUUGGCUCUCUUUAAUAUGGUUUAUGUUGUUGAUUCGUGAACGAGGCUGUUGUGCAUGUAUAUCACGGGAAAUAAUAAAUGGAGUAGAGUAUUAAAAAAGUAGAUUAGAGGCUUAAUGGUCACUCAUGUAUGUCAUUAGAAAGAUGAAUGUUACUAAUCUAGUUCAGAAAAGAAAGAACAGUGAGCUUGUUGUACCAUCAGACACUUCUUUCCGUAAAACAAACUUCUGUAUUAGACUCAGAUUUCUCACUAACUGUUUUUCCCCCCUUCGUCCUCUUCGUAUCUUUCGGCUCUUGGUAAGAUGAAAGAAUCGUUUUGAAGAAGAUACAAACUUUGCGAUCCUAAUCCUUUUUAUACUUGAAAAACACAAAGUAACUUCACCUUUCCCUCGUCCUAUUGUACAUCUCAAUUUCCAUGGAACUUACGGAAUAAUGGAGUUUUGAGAUGUUAAUCUGGACAUGAAUAGACUGCUACUGCUACUACUAUUAUUAUUUGCACACUGCUCAUUUUGUUCAUAGCCUUUCACCCUCAUAUUUUCAGGUAAAGGGUGCUUGAGAUUCAGGCCUAAUGUGAUGGUCAUGCAAGCAAUGUUGUGCACGAUGAAAUCAGCUUGUGAUCUUUUCUUUCGUAAUGCUAAAGCUUGUUAGUUUGUUUGAAGUUGUUCUACAGAGGUGAUCGAAAAUACUUUCUUUCACAGUGGUGAAAAUUGAUUUGUGUGUAGGCAAAAAUUCGAAAAUGGGAAGUUUAUAGUUUUGUUUUUGCUUAUUUACUUGAGAGUAUGAUCGAGAUCGUUUUCACAAAAUUCAAUGAAUUCACAUGCUGGUGAAAAAUCUGUAGCUGAAUCAACGUGGAAAUAGUGAAAUGGACGAGUACCAAAAAAUGGUUGGAGGAAAAUAUGUAAUUAUAAAAUGCCAUAAUAAAGCGUGUUUUUGAGAAUGCAGUAAUUUUGA
rnacentral:lncRNA from 1 species